rnacentral:rRNA from 1 species
CCCUUAGAUGUUCUGGGCCGCACGCGCGCUACACUGAUGCAUUCAGCGAGUCCAUCCUUGCCCGAAAGGGCUGGGUAAUCUUUUGAAAUUGCAUCGUGAUGGGGCUUGCGGGUUGCAACUACCCGCACCAACGAGGAAUUCCUAGUAAACGCAAGUCAACAACUUGCAUUGAUUACGUCCCUGCCCUUUGUACACACCGCCCGUCGCUCCUACCGAUUGAAUGCUCAGGUGAGCCAUUCGGACUUUCAUCAUGCUGGUUUCCAGUUUUGAUGAAGGAAAGUCUUGCGAACCUUAUCAUUUAGAGGAAGGAGAAGUCGUAACA